UACGGGGGGGGCAAGCGUUGUUCGGAAUUACUGGGCGUAAAGGGCCAGUAGGCGGCCAACUAAGUCGGAUGUGAAAUCCCCAGGCUUAACCUGGGAACUGCAUCCGAUACUGGAUGGCUUGAAUUCGGGAGGGGGAUGCAGAAUUCCAGGUGUAGCGGUGAAAUGCGUAGAUAUCUGGAGGAAUACCGGUGGCGAAGGCGGCAUCCUGGACCGACAUUGACGCUGAACGGCGAAAGCUAGGGGAGCAAACGGG
rnacentral:rRNA from 1 species